GCGCGCACGCAGGCGGGCUAUACUUUGCGUACUGUUUCCAUGCAGUAAGUCUCGCGGUACAUCCUGCUAGGUGUUAUCUUGAGCCGCGGUUGUACUUUGAGCUGGUGUGUGAGGAAGGUGAGGAGACGGCGGCGGUAUAUCGAUGCACAGCAUUGAUUCCCUGCAAUCCUACAGCUGUAUCCUCUAAGGCUUAUUUCAACCAAGGUUCCAUAGGGCUGGCUGUGUGUUGGAAAAAUGUC